ensembl:miRNA
UUUCCCGAAGACAGAAGUAAAUAUGACGCAUGUCUUUGUUUCUGUGUACGGGUUCAG